CAAACGGCCCUUUUUAGGGCCACCCACUCCAGUUCAAAAGUCAGAU
rfam:Ixodes scapularis strain Wikel colony gcontig_1108378276992, whole genome shotgun sequence.